GAUGAACGCUGGCGGCGUGCCUAAUACAUGCAAGUCGAGCGAACGGACGAGAAGUUUGCUUCUCUGAUGUUAGCGGCGGACGGGAGAGUAACACGUGGAUAACCUACCUAAAAGACUGGGAUAACUACGGGAAACCGGAGCUAAUACCGGAUAAUAUUUUGAACCGCAUGGUUCAAAAGUGAAAGACGGUCUUGGGGUCACUUAUAGCUGGAUACGGGCUGCAUUAGUUAGUUGGUAAGGUAACGGCUUACCAAGGCAACGAUGCAUAGCCCACCUGAGAGGGAGGUCGCCCACCUUGGAACUGAGACGGGGUCCAGACUCCUACGGUAGGCAGCAGUAGGGAAUCUUCCGCAAUGGGCGAGAGCCUGACGGAGCAACGCCGCGUGAGUGAUGACGGUCUUCGGAUCGUAAAACUCUGUUAUUAGUGAAGAACAUAUGUGUAAGUAACUGUGCCCAUCUUGACGGUACCGGAUCAAAAAGCCCCGGCUAACUACGUG
rnacentral:rRNA from 1 species